rnacentral:lncRNA from 1 species
GCCGCCGGCCUCUUAAAGGAGCCCGCUGCUGCCAUCCGGCGCGCUCCAGGCUCGUACCUGGCCCGCCUGGGCCCCGCGCCUCCCUGCUGGCGGUGUCCUAUGGAGGUCCCACCUCAGGCCUCAGGCUGAUUCCACAGGAACCCCCUAUGACCCGUCUUAUAGACUCCUUUCUACAUCGGAGAGAGCAGCCCCUCAGUUGGGAUCCCUAGCGCUCUGGCAUUGCUCCCCCUAUCAUACCGAUCUUGCCAGCUCUCCUUCCCUUGAUUGUCACCACUCACUCCAAUUUCACCCACUUGGAAUUCACUCGGCUCUAGGCCCCAUCCUCCUCCAGUGUUCCUGGAUGACCCCUCAUUAUCAUUUCAAGAUUCCUCUGGACCUCCAACCCCGGCUCAGAGUCACAAGAUUUCCCUCAGCCCAGUGGUUGUGCAACUUUGGGGGAGGAGGCAAUGGGGCUCUAGGACUAAACAAUGCGCGUCUGCUCAACACCCAGAUCAGUUGAUUAAUCUUAGGCGGCCAAAAUUCACUUUUGCUCUCUUCAGCUGAGAGACCCAAGACUCAUGGAAGAGGGAACAAGACCACCAGGUGCCUAGUCCUUCUAAUCCUGUCGUCCCACAUUACAGCCUGAUUAUCAGGCCCCAGAGGUUUCCUCGCCAGUUAAAGAGAGGUUCACUAGAGCGGUUCUAAAAAGGUUUCACAAAAGAAGCAACACCUGAAGGGAGGUGAAGGACGACCUAGGAAAAGGAAGCAAGUUCUGUGUCACGGAGGCCCAAGGGCAAGGGGCUUAGGCUGUGGGUUGAGGGGACUGUCUGAGACGGACUUAAACCUGCACCAGCUCCAGAGCCCUGCGGAAACAGAGAUCGGUCCCCUCCGGCGUCUAGGUAAGGCCCACCCUCCCAGACCGCAAAGAGCCAGGAUCCGACGGCAGCCUCUCCGGACCAAUCACAACCUUCCUUCAUCAAGGAGGCGGGGUCGGGGGGGGCUGACUUUUCCUUGUCUCCGCCCCUUUAGUCGAAGUAACCAAUCUCAGUGCACCUAGGGGAAGUAAUCGCAAUGGGAGUAACCAAUGACGCCAUGAAGCUUCUCGUGCGUGCUUGACCCUGCCUCUCCAGCUGCGACAAAGAUGGCGCGCGGGCUCUUGGGUUCUGUAGUUUUCUCGCGAUCCAAAAGGCUCCGUGCCCAAGUGAGUCCUUACCGCCUCCCUACCCAGCGGCUUCCCCUCCGCUAGUACGCAUGUCCACAGCCUCACGGACCGGGAGAGAGGGGGCGCAGAAGGAAGGAGGCGGGACGGUAUUACAAACAAAAAAAUACGGCCUUCUCGAGAAGCGACGGCGGAGGGCCCGCUCCUCCCAGAAGGCGGUGCAGCCUGCCCGGGCGAGCCACGCACGCAGAGGGUUGUGGGGCGGAUAGCUCCUCUCCAGAUGGAGGCUCAUGAAGUAGGGUGGGCGGGGGACUCCAUAUCCCAGCGUGCCCCGCGGC